rnacentral:rRNA from 1 species
GUGGGGAAUAUUGGGCAAUGGGCGCAAGCCUGACCCAGCAACGCCGCGUGAGGGAAGAAGGUUUUCGGAUUGUAAACCUCUGUCGCAAGGGACGAAGAAGUGACGGUACCUUGUGAGGAAGCCCCGGCUAACUACGUGCCAGCAGCCGCGGUAAUACGUAGGGGGCGAGCGUUGUCCGGAAUUACUGGGCGUAAAGGGUGCGUAGGCGGUUGCUUAAGUUGGAUGUGAAAUACCCGGGCUUAACUUGGGGGGUGCAUUCAAAACUGGGCAACUAGAGUUCAGGAGAGGGAAGCGGAAUUCCUAGUGUAGCGGUGAAAUGCGUAGAUAUUAGGAGGAACACCAGUGGCGAAGGCGGCUUUCUGGACUGACACUGACGCUGAGGCACGAAAGCGUGGGGAGCAAACAGGAUUAGAAACCCGAGUAGUCC